CCUACGGGGGGCAGCAGUCGAGAAUCAUUCACAAUGGGGGAAACCCUGAUGGUGCGACGCCGCGUGGGGGAAUGAAGGCCUUCGGAUUGAAAACCCUUGUCAUGUGGGCGCAAAUUAAAAAGAUAGUACCACAAGAGGAUGAGACGGCUAACUCUGUGCCAGCAGCCGCGGUAAUACAGAGGUCUCACGCGUUGUUCGGAAUUACUGGGCGUAAAGCGUGUGUAGGCUGUUUCGUAAGGCGUGUGUGAAUGGCGCGGGCUCAACCCGCGGACGUCACAUGAUACUGCGAGACUAGAGUAAUGGAGGGGGAACCGGAAUUCUCGGUGUAGCAGUGAAAUGCGUAGAUAUCGAGAGGAACACUCGUGGCGAAGGCAGGUUCCUGGACAUUAACUGACGCUGAGGCACGAAGGCCAGGGGAGCGAAAGGGAUUAGAUACCCGAGUAGUC
rnacentral:rRNA from 1 species